rnacentral:lncRNA from 1 species
AUGGCCUUGGGUGAUCUACAGACAUCCCUGGCUCUAGCAGUCAUUUGUGUGGGGAGACAGAGUAUCACUCUGUCACCCAGGCUGGAAUUCAGUGGCACGAUCUUGGCUCACUGCAACCUCUGCCUCCCGGGUUCGAGCCAUUCUCCUGCCUCAGCCUCCCAAGUAGCAGCUGAGAUUACAGGUGUGUACCACUAUAUCUGCUAUUUUUGUAUUUUUAGUAGAGACGGGGCUCUGUAAAAUGUUGGCCAGGCUCGUCUUAAACUCCUGGCUUCAAGAAAUCUGCCUGCUUCAGCCUUCCUAAGUGCUGGGAUUAUAGGCAUGAGCCACUGUACCUGGCUCAUUUUCUGCUUUUGUAUAUGAUUUUAAUUUCUAUGAAAAUGCUCAUUUGCUCCCAGGAUGAGUUAUCUCAGUCUCGGUCUUGUUUCUUUGGGGCCUUUCUUAAAGGUGCUAGAAUUCAUCAAUGUGCUUGGCUAAGGCUGUGCUUCAAAGUUAUAAUUUGUGAAGCUGAUGGAUGCAAAAAUUUCAGAAAUGUACACUAAAUUUCCCAGUGCCUUUAUGAAGAUUAGAAAUUUUUAACAUAGAGAGAUAAUGAUAAUGAAAAAAUUGGGGCUCUGACCAUGUGCCAAACAUUGUAUUAAGUGCUCUUUGUGCCUUAUUUAAUUCUCCAUUGUUCUUAUGUAGUAACUACAUUUAUCAUUCCUAGUCUACAGAUGUGUAAACAGAGGCUCAUUGUAUUAGUCCAUUUUUACACUGAUGAUAAAGACAUACCAGAGACUGGGCAAUUUACAAAAGAAAAAGGCUUAUUGGACUUACAGUUCCACAUGGCUAGCAGGACUCACAAUCAUGGCAGAAGGCGGGGAGAAGGAAGUCACAUCUUACGUGGAUGAGAGAAGGCAAAGAAUGAGCUUGUGCAGAGAAACUCCUGUUUUUAAAACCAUCAGAUCUCAUAAGACCCAUUAACUCUCUGAAGAACAGCAUGGGAAAGAUCCACCCCCAUGAUUCAGUCAUUUCCCACUGGGUCUGUCUUACAACAUGUGGGAAUUAUGGGAGCUACAAGAUCAGAUUUGGGUGGGAACAUAGAGUCACCAAACCAUAUUAUUCCACCUAUCCCCUCCCAAAUCUCAUGUCUUCACCUUUCAAGACCAAUCAUGCCUUCCCAACAGUACCCCAAAGUCUCAAUUCAUUUCAGCAUUAACUGAAAAGUCCACAGUCCAAAGUCUCAUCAGAAACAAGGAAAGUCCCUUCUGCCUAUGAGCCUGCAAAGUCAAAAGCAAGUUAGUUACUUCCUAGAUACAAUGCGGGUAUAGGAUUUGGGUCAUUAAAACCAUUACAAAUGGGAGAAAUUGGCCAAAACAAAGGGGCUACAGGCCCGAUGCAAGUCCAAAAUCCAGCAGUGCAGUCAAAUCUUAAAGCUCCAAAAAUGAUCUCCUUUGACUCCGUGUCUCACAUCCAGAUCAUGCUGAUGUAAGAGUUGGGUUCCCAUGGUCUUGGGCAGUUCUGCCACUGUGGCUUUGCAGGGCACAGCUUCCCUCCUGGCUGCCUUCAUGGGCUGGCAUUGAGUGCCUGUGGCUUUUCCAGGCACAUGGUGCAAGCUGUCAGUGGAUCUCCCAUUCUGGGAUCUGGAGGAUGGUGGCCCGCUUCUCACAGCUCCAGUAGGUGGUGCCCCAGUAGGGAUCUAUGUGAGGAUUCCAGUUCCAUAUUUCCCUUCUGUACUGGCCUAGCAGAGGGUCUCCAUGAGGGCCCAGCCCCUGCAGCAAACUUCUUCCUGGGCAUCUAGGCAUUUCCAUACAUUACAAACCCCAGUCAUUAACUUCUGUGCACUUUCAGGCUCAAUACCACAUGGAAGCUGUCAAGACUUGGGGCUUGCAGCCUCUGAAGCCAUGGCUGAAGCUCUACAGUGGUCCCUUUCAGCCACAGCUAGAGCAGCUGGGACGCAAGGCACCAAGUCCCUAGGUUGCACAUAGUACUGAGAUCCUGGGCCCAGCCCAUGAAACCACUUUUCCUCCUAGGCCUCCAGGCCUGUGUUGGGCAGGGGGUGGGGGGCUGCCACAAAGACUUCUGACAUGCCCUCAAGACAUUUUCUCCAUUGUCUUGGGGAUUAACAUCUGUCUAUUUGUUACUUACGCAAAUUUCUCCUGAGAAAAUGGGAUUUUCUUUUCUAGUGCACUGUCAGGCUGCAGAUUUUCUGAAAUUUUAUGCUCUGUGUCCCUUAUAAAACUGAAUGCCUUUAACAGCACCCAAGUCACUUCUUGAAUACUUUGCUGCUUAGAAAUUUCUUCUGCCAGAUACCCUAAAUCAUCUCUCUCAAGUUUAAAGUUCCACAAGUCUCUAGGGCAGGGGCAAAAUGCCACCAGUCUCUUUGUUAAAACAUAACAAGAGUCAUCUUUGUUCCAGUUCCUGACAAGUUCCUCAUCUCCAUCUAAGACCACCUCAGCCUUGACCUUAUUGUUCAUAUCAUUAUCAGCAUUUUUGUCAAAGCCAUUCAACAAGUCUCUAGGAAGUUCCAAACUUUCCCACAUUUUCUUGUCUUCUUCUGAGCCCUUCAAACUUCCAAUCUCUGCCUAUACCCAGUUCCAAAGUCACUUCCACAUUUUCAGGUAUCUUAUCAGAAGUGCCCCACUCUACUGGUAUCAAUUUACUGAAUUAAUCUGUUUCAAGCUGCUGAUAAAGAUAUACCAGAGACUGGGAAAUUCACAAAAGAAAGAGAUUUAUUGGACAUACAGUUCCACAUGGCCGGGGGGACCUCAUAAUUAUGGCAGAAGGCAAGGAAGA